rnacentral:rRNA from 1 species
AAUCAACGCUGGCGGCGUGCCUCAGACAUGCAAGUCGAACGCGAAAGAGGGCUUCGGCCCUUGAGUAGAGUGGCGCACGGGUGAGUAACACGUGGGUAAUUUACCUUUGGGUGGGGAAUAACAGUCGGAAACGGCUGCUAAUACCGCAUAAUGCAGCGGCUCCACAUGGAGACAGUUGUUAAAGCGGGGAGCGAGCAAUCGCCCUCGCGCCUGAAGAGAAGCCCGCGGCAGAUUAGCUAGUUGGUGAGGUAAUGGCUCACCAAGGCUUCGAUCUGUAGCCGGCCUGAGAGGGCGGUCGGCCACACUGACACUGAAU